rnacentral:rRNA from 1 species
AACGAACGCUGGCGGCAGGCUUAACACAUGCAAGUCGAGCGCCCCGCAAGGGGAGCGGCAGACGGGUGAGUAACACGUGGGAAUCUACCCAUCUCUACGGAAUAACGCAUGGAAACGUGUGCUAAUACCGUAUACGUCCUUCGGGAGAAAGAUUUAUCGGAGAUGGAUGAGCCCGCGUUGGAUUAGCUAGUUGGUGGGGUAAAGGCCUACCAAGGCGACGAUCCAUAGCUGGUCUGAGAGGAUGAUCAGCCACCCUGGGACUGAGACACGGCCCAUACGCCUACGGGAGGCAGCAGUGGGGAAUAUUGCACAAGGGGCGCAAGCCUGAGCCAGCCAUGCCGCGUGAGUGAUGAAGGCCCAAGGGUUGUAAAGCUCUUUCACCGGUGAAGAUAAUGACGGUAACCGGAGAAGAAGCCCCGGCUAACUUCGUGCCAGCCGCCGCGGUAAUAC